UAAGCAAUCUGCCCUUCUCAUCGGAAUAAGCGUUGGAAACGACGUCUAAUGCCGAAUACGACCUCCUUUCGCAUGAUCGGAGGUGGAAAGCUCCGGCGGAGAAGGAUGAGCUCGCGGCCUAUCAGCUAGUUGGUGUGGGUAAUGGCCCACCAAGGCGACGACGGGUAGCCGGCCUGAGAGGGUGACCCGGCCACACUGGGACUGAGACACGGCCCAGACCUCCGUACGGGGAGGNAG
rnacentral:rRNA from 1 species